rnacentral:rRNA from 1 species
GACGAACGCUGGCGGCGCGCCUAACACAUGCAAGUCGAACGAGCGAGAGAGAGCUUGCUUUCUCGAGCGAGUGGCGAACGGGUGAGUAACGCGUGAGGAACCUGCCUCAAAGAGGGGGACAACAGUUGGAAACGACUGCUAAUACCGCAUAAGCCCACAGCUCGGCAUCGAGCAGAGGGAAAAGGAGCAAUUCGCUUCAGGAUGGCCUCGCGUCCAAUUAGGUAGAUGGUGAGGUAACGGCCCACCAUGCCGACGAUUGGUAGCCGGACUGAGAGGUUGAACGGCCACAUUGGGACUGAGACACGGCCCAG